CCAGGGCAGACCGGAAGACCCGGCUGUCAGUCACUGCUGAGAGGACUUGCCCAUUGGACAGGGCCAAACCGGAACCAGAACCGUGGAGAAUGGACCCCUCCUGCCCCAGGAGGAUCCCCCCAGGGCAGACCGGAAGACCCGGCUGUCAGUCACUGCUGAGAGGACUUGCCCAUUGGACAGGGCCAAACCGGAACCAGAACCGUGGAGAAUGGACCCCUCCUGCCCCAGGAGGAUCCCCCCAGGGCAGACCGGAAGACCCGGCUGUCAGUCAUUGCUGAGAGGACUUGCCCAUUGGACAGGGCCAAACCGGAACCAGCACCGCAGCAGACACCACACCAGGAAGGAACGCAGCAGCGCGGGGCGUCAGCGAGGGAAAGGGCUUGUGCCGUGUGGGGUCCGCCGUGGGCUGAGACUCAGUGUGUCCGCAGCAGGUUCAGCGACCUCCAGGCUCGUUGGCAGGUGGAGUUCUGUGGCUUUGCUGGGGGAGUCGCAGAGGCAUCUUGGCGGGACCCCCAAAACCUUCAAACAAAUUUGCAAAAAGAUGAAACAUAACUUUCUACAAAUAUAGAGUGAACACGUGUGCUAGAUUUAGCGAGCUCGUUAGCGAAGAGCCAGAAGGAGGCUGCAGCUCGUGCCCAUGUUCCUCGUCUGAAAUAUCUUUCUGGUGGGCUGAGCUGCGUCUGAGAGUUUACACAAGAAGUCACACUGACCGUUCCUACAAGGUGGCAGAACAUUCCAGAACUCCUUGACCACAUUCUCCACAUGGGCCUGUGACAGUGAAACAGCUAAAGAACGGACACAACCAGCUCCAUUGUUGUUGAAGGGGCCUGUACCCGCUCCUGCACGUAGGCCAGGAUAAUUUUAGAGCACUGAGAUAAAACACAAAACCAGCGAUCAUGCAGUUUUUGAAACUAACUCUGGGAUUAAAAGGGAAGUAUGUAAACAGCUAACUAUGUUUUGUUAAGGAUUUAUAGAGACGGGGAGGUUUAGCUACCGUCACAUGAGAGACCAUUAUGCACGGACAAAGAAGUUUUGCAAACUUCCCCCAGACGCUGGUUGGAGCCCAGACAAUUGCGAUUGUCAGUCCCCUUCUUUCCCUCUCACAUAGAAGACAAGCAAGGCAAAGCCCACAUAAUUCCGAGAUGGAUCUCUGGGACGUUAGUUUCCACCAUCUUCUCAAUUUUCUGACUCUCCGAGAUAAAGUCUCCUUUCUUGCCCCAACUCCGUGUCUCUCGAUGUAUUGGCUGCCGUGUGGCCGGCAGAGCAAGUCUGGACUCCGUCACAUCCUCCCCAUGCACCUGACCUCAGUUAGAAAUGAAAGGGUUCCACCGUCCGUCAUGGCUGCGCCUGCAGGAACAGCGCGUGGAGGAGCCAGCUGGCUUUGGAUCCUGCUCUCUGAAGCCCGCUGCAUUCUGAGGGUCCGUUUGGAAGAGGAUGCAAAGCCUGUGUUGUCUGUGGUGUUGCCCAUUUCCAGGGAUAUGAGGCCAUCGUCCAAGAGAAGCACACACAGGGAGCCUCUGGCAGUGGGAAAGAGCCACAGUGAAGCCUGCCCUGCUUUUUCACAGAGAAAUGUUAAGAACCCAAUAAAGAUCCUCCAAGUCGAAGUAUUUGUGAGACGGGAAGUGCUCUCAAAACCCAGGGCUGAGGUCAGUGGAGCUGCGAGAGAGGGGGCAGGUAGACCCAAGCAACUGGAAAAUGGGAAAACGUCACUGUACUAACAUAAAAGCCAGCGUGUGGAUACGUAGAGAAAAAUAAAUGUAUUUAUACAUGAAGUAAUUUUAUCCUCAGAGGCUUUAGCUGAGGCGUUCUGCGGCUGCGGGGAGAAGGGGACUUGUUUCAGAUGAACAGUGUCCGUCUCUAAGGGCCACCUGCGCCUCAGCCGGCGCCCAAGGGCACUUUGAGCCCUGGAGAGGUGGCCCCUCAGCCACCCACACGCCCACAGGCAACAGUCACAAACUUGGGACACAAAAGUAAAAAACAAGUGUGGGGCGCGCCGGAGGGAGCCCUGAGGAGGCUGACCCUGGACGGAGCCCACACCUGCGGGAAGGGGUGGCAGGGCCAGCCGCCUGCUUUCUGCUGCUUUUCCCUAGAGGACGGCCUCAGUCCAAGCCAAGCAGAGGCAGCAAGAAUCUGGACUAAAAGCCUGCAACUUACUGCCUCGAAGAGCCAAGGAACAGAAUUUGGGCAGCUCAGAAAUCCAGGAAAGGAGAAAGCCAGAGAAGGGGAGUCCUACCUUCCGUGGUCACCUAAAGCUCCCGACACGAAUAAUCAGCACAGCCCUUACACUAGUCACCAUUGUAAUCCUAGGCUUGACUUACGUAGGAGGCCCCAGCUGGGCUGAAAGCAAAGUUGAGCAAAAUCAUUCAGUCAGCCUCCCGACUGCCAUGCCUCACGAGUUUUAAAAAUCACGUUGUGAGCCUGAGUCAGUCCUUCAAGGCAGAUCCUGAGUGGCUGACUGGUCCUAAAUUCAAAACAGAGCCACGGGGCCAUUGGCUGGAAAACCCACGUGCUUGUGGAACUUCGGGACUCUCUGCUCCUGUUCCCACGCCACCCGAAUCAACAGCUGCCAGGAAAUCCCAUGUCACCUCCUGGACCUUAACCCACAGACGGUACCUCCCUUGACCAAUCAUGACUAAACAAGCACUGGCCAAUUAAAACUAAGCAAGCGUGCAUCCCUCAUUUGAAUAAGCAGACCAGAGUGGGAACCGGGGGGGAAACAACGCUUCUCCCGGUUUUCUUGGCGCACACCGAUGUUUUGUACCAAAGGCUGUGUUUCUCCAGCUGGCAAACUGCUUGCUAGAAUGAAGUCUUUUUUUUUUUUUUUUUAAAGAAAAUCCUUUUUUGUAAACUUUUUGACAAUAUCUACAUGGCCUAGCAGCGUAUCAUGAUGUGGUGAUGUUAUUUAUUCCGAAAUUAUGCUGAGAGAAACUGGUUAUUGGCAGAAAUUGAGUAUAUAUACACAUAGUGAAACGGUGACUGUAGUCAGACAAAUUAACAUAUCCAUCAUCUUACAUAGUUACUCAUUUUUUGUGUGGCAAGAACACCUAAAAUCUACUUUUUCAGCGAAAAUUCCCAAUACAGUGAGGUCUUAUUCCUCUAGCCCUCGUGCUGCCCUCCGGACUGGCCUCCUCCUUACCUGCUUUGUCUCCCAUUUCUUCCCCAGCCCUGGGAACCACCGUGUUAUUCUCUAUCUCUGUGCAUUCAACUGUGAGGAGACAGAGGCCACAAGAGGCUGAGUGACCUGCGGGGUUGCUGGGUGAAGACGCCGGGAUUUGGACUCAGGCCCUGACAGGUUCCUGGGCCCUAGGAGAUGGGAUUUUGUCCUAAGCACGGAUGUUGAAAGACAGUUUCUACAUCUAUAUUAGGUUUGAACCGCCAGGUCCAACUGACAUGCGGAUUUUCGCUGGCCUCUGCCACCUCUGAGACAGCAAGACCAACCCUCCUCUUCCUCCUUCUCCUCCUCAGCCCACUCAGUGUGAAGACGAAGAGGAUGAAGACCUUCAUGACGGUCCACUUCCAUUUAAUGAAUAGUAAGUCUCCUGGGUAAUGCCAUUGACUGUUUAUGUUACAGGUAAGUCUCCUGGGUAACAGUCAGCUAUGAGUAGUUACAUUUUGGAGGAGUCAAAAGUUAUACUCAGAUUUUUGACCACGUGGGAGGUUGACAUCCCUAACCCCCACAUUGUUCAAGGUUCAAGUGAACAAUUAACUGCACAUAUGUAAGGCAUGCAAUUUGACAAAUUCUGACAUUUGUAUACACUAGUGAAACCAUCACCACAAUCAUAACGGACACAAACCACAAUUCCUCAUGGCCAUUACUGCCGGAUCACUCUUGCAGGAAUACAGACAAGAAAAUGAUCAAAGCCAAUCUGCAGUGAGUUUCUAUUUCAUACCCACCAGAAUGGCUGCAAUAAAAAAAAAAAGCCAGGUAAUAACAAGUGUUGGUGAGGAUGUGGGGAAAUCAGAGCGCUUGUACACUGCCGAUUGGAAUGAAAAUGGUGCAACCGACUUGGAAAACCGUCUAGCGGCUUCUCCAAAAGCUACCGGUGGAGUUACCGUAUGACCCAGCAAUUUCUUUUCUGGAGAACUGAAAACAUAUGUCCACAUAGAAACUCGUACUCAAAUGUUCACAGUGGCAUUAUUCAUGAUCGCCAAAAAGUAGAACAACCCAAGUGUCCAUCAGCUGGUGGCUGGGUAAACAAAGUGCAGUGCCUCCAUAUUGCGGCAUAUUCAGCCACGGGCAGGAAUGAAGGGCUGCCACGCACUGCCACACGCACGGACCUUGAGAGCCUCGUGCUUGAGUCAAUAAGCCAAAGGCCACGUGUUAUGUGACCCCACUUCUGUGAAAUGUCCGCAAUAGACAAAUCCAGAGAGAGUAAAUUCGAGGUUGCCUAGGGCAGGGAUUGGGGAGGGUGGUGAGUAGGGGAGGUAGGUAAAGGGCACAGAAUUUCUUUCUGGGGUGAGGUGACAUAUUCUAAACCUGAGUGUGGUGCUGGUUGCACAGCUGCGUGAUACAGUAGAAGCAGUGGAAUUACAUGCUUUAAAUGUGUGAAUUGUGUGGCCUGUGAAUUAUAGCUCGAUCAAGCUGUUCUUUACAGAAGUGCUGAUGACCGGUAACACCACCGAGUCUCCACGGUUGCUCUGCGGAGCCCUCUGUGCCCCAUCCCAUUUAGGGGCCCUAGAUAGACGCUGCUGUUUCUGCAUGAGGAAGCUUAGUGAGGUUCAGGAGCUUGUCCAACAUCCCCCCACUUAGCCAGUAAGGGGCAGAAUCUGGUGAUUAAAAAAACACACAAAAAAAUCCCUAGCUUUCUUAUGGUGUAAUUGACAUAUAAUAAA